UGCUGCUGUUUUAAAGGCAAAGCUGCUCACAGCAGAUAUUGAUUAACUUCCUGCUGUUUACUGAACUCUGGAUCAAGUUAACUGAUCAAUAACAACUAUUCAAAGCCUCCUCACUUUACUGUUAGGACCUAAAACUUUUGCACAGUACUGUAUGUGAGACAGAGAGAGAGAAAUAGCAUUGUAAUUAAUUGUCACAUCCUGCCUUCUAGUGUUUUUUUGGACUCUUUGUGUUUUUGUGUUUCCUGGUUUGAUUUCUGUUUAGUCUUUCUGGUCAUGUGGGUUUUCUUGUUAUAUUUGGGUGAUGGGUUUGGACUUGCCUUUUGUUUUAGCCUGGCGUGUUGUAUUCUUGGGUUUAGGUUCAUGGUGGUUCUUGGACGGGUUGUAUUUAGAGUAUUGUGUGUUCUGGGUUUUGGUUUUCUGUUGUUCUGUGUUUCCCCUUUGUGUUCAUGUCCUCCUCAACAUCAGCCCUGCCUGCUCCCUGUGUUUCCUCAGCCAAUCGGCUCCCUGUCUGUUCACUCCCCUCUCCACCUGCACCUCAUCUCCUCGUUAGUUCAGUUUCUUUUUUUAAGUCCUGGUUUUCUGUUCAGUCUUUGUUGGAUCCUUUGUUAUACCUGUUCUGUUCGUUUCGGAGGUAUGCCCGUCCUGUCAGCUGUUGUUUGGAUACUCGCGCCGAAAUAAAGCGGUUUUCUUCAGUCCUGCUUUCUGGGGGGUCCACACAUCCCUGCUACACUGUGACAUUAAUGUGCAAAAUAUUCUUUAGUUGCAGCCUGAGAGGAGUCAAGUCAACAAGCUGUUAGCUAAUCAUCCAUCAGAGCCACCAACGUAUCAUCUCAGCUUACAGGACGCUGCGGCAGAGACGCUGAUCACUGCUGGAGACUCUGACUCCAUCACACACCGGCGGCCGUUUCCACCACAAACACCGAAGCAGCGACGUCGACGGUGACCUUCAUCAACACCAGUUAGCUUCACUCAGUGGAUGAAGGACACCAGUCAGUGAUUGACACAGUGAACUGGAAGAAGAGCCUUAAAGGGGACACGUCACGCUUCUAUGUCAUGAUUUUCUGUCAUUUAGUAGUUUAGUAGAGCGAAACUUCAACUGAAGUAGCUAACUGUAUAUAAAGUAGUUCAAACUAGCUAAUAAUAAUAUAUAUCUAAUAAUAUAUCAGUCAAAGGGACCAAACCGCUACUUUUUGCUGUUAAUACUUUGGUACUUUUACUUAAGUAGGAUUUUAAAUGCUUGUAGCAGAGUAUUUUUACAUGUUAUUGGUAAUUUUACUGAAUGUUUCCUCCACCACUGCAUGCAAUUAAAUUUAUGAGAUACAGUAUCUCAAUCUGUGCAUGUAUUUUUAGAUUUGUUUGUACUAGAAUCUAUCAAUGUGCACGUGAUUUGUUAAAUAUGUACUCAAAAAAUCUGAAGUAUUUAGCUUCAAAAGCUUCAGUUUCCACCUCAGAUCCGUCUGUCAACGUGACUCACGGUUUUCUUUCUUCUAGUUUGGAUCCACAUGAAAUCUUUCGCUGGUGAACAACUUUGUUAGAAAAUAUCUGGAAACUUGUUGAUACAAGACUGUGUUCAUAAAAACGUCAGGAUAGAAGUUGACUAUAAUUAAGUGCAUUUCGGCAAGAAAAGAUCCAAUCAUGGAGCUUAAACGUCUGUGAUGUGUGCAGCUAACAGCGUUUUUGUUUUCAGCUCUAGCUUUCUUUUAACAUGUGAUCCAUUUGUGAGCCUCUGCUCAGGGUGAAGAACAUUGGAUCUCAGACACGACACAUAACAGAUAACAAAACAGUUAAUAUAGAAGUUAAACUGAAGAAAAGCUAAAUCCUGUUCAGUCAUUUGUUAAUUUACGUGUAUAAAUCAAUGAGUCAGGAACCCCAAACAGUCAGACUGUCGACCUCCGUGUCACUGUUAGAAACAUACGUCUUUACGAUGGCGUUCUUGUAAUGUGCCAAUGUUUUGUGUGUUUGUGUGUACAUAUAUGUGUAUGUAACUGUGUGUGCAUCGAGGAGGCAUUUAUCCGAGCGUAUACCUCGUUUUACCUCUUCAAUAAAUUG